GACAGAGGGUGCAACCGUUGUUCGGAAUUACUGGGCGUAAAGCGCGUGUAGGUGGUGGUACAAGUCACUGUUGAAAGCUCCCGGCUAAACUGGGAGAGGUGCGGUGAGACUGUGCGACUGGAGUAUGGGAGAGGGGUGCGGAAUUCCGGGUGUAGUGGUGAAAUGCGUAGAGAUCCGGAGGAACACCAGAGGCGAAGGCGGCACCCUGGCCUGAUACUGACGCUGAGGCGCGAAAGCUAGGGGAGCGAACGGG
rnacentral:rRNA from 1 species